rnacentral:lncRNA from 1 species
AAACACAGGAGCCUGGCGGUCACCUUCCGGAACAGCAGUUCCGGCUUGAUGAAAAGCUUGGCUGUGUCUUCGUACAUGUUGAUGGUCAAGCUCGGGAGGUGCACGUGGCCCCACGAGACAAAGCAGAGGCGGUGCCCCUGCACCUGCGCCUUCGCGCGGCGCGCCCCUUGCUUCUGCAUGUUCGCCACGACCUCGGCCUCGACGAUGUCGUAUGCCUGGCGAACCAGCCUUGUCAGCGGAGUCCCCGGAUCGACGACGGACCCCCCUCGUCGGGUUUGAAGGUUCCGCGUGAACAUCGCCGGCUGUAACCUCAUAAUUCUUCUCCCGUUCAAGCUGAUGCCGACGACGCGGAUGUGGUACAUGCCGCCGGAGCCCGGUCCCGUGAAGAGCAGCGACGUGCUGUGCGCGUGGUCGUGCCUCGGGAUGUCGCGGCCGAAGCGGAGGAACCCGUGCUUNAUCGCUGAACACCAUCCCGCCGAAGCCUCCGCCGAGAAGCCCCGCGCCGAGCCCCAGCGCGAAGCUGCCGUUCCUUACGUAGUUCUUCUGUGCCGGCGAAGCAGCGGCCGCGCCACAGCCUGCAGCUGGCUUGGGCGCCGGUGGCAUGCGAGCACACGCCUGAGGAUAGUAAUGCCAUGGCGGAAGCUCGUACCCCAUGACCGCGCCGUCGUCCCAGCACAACUCUUUGUCCUGAUGGGGCAGCGGCGCCAUCACGGGGCCGAAGCGGUACGCCACGGUGAGCAUGCCCCGGUGCUCGGUGCAGUGCACCUUCCGGACCGGAUACGACGCGCAGCGCGGCGUCGGGCCGGUGCCGCCGACGCAGGCGCAGGCGAGCAGGUCGGCGAGAGGGAUGAACACCUCGCCGACGUCGUCGAAGCCGAAGAGGCGCUCGGUGCGGAGGAGCACGUGGAGGUAGGCGCCCGCGGCGGAGGCCUUGGCGGCCGUGGGCGGGACGGCGAACAGGAACGUGUCGUCCCACGUCGGGUGCCUGGCGCCGUCGCGGUCGGUCUUGCUGCGCUGCCGCGUGCGAGGGUCGCCGAGCACGGACGUGAUGGCGUACACCUCCAUGCGGCUGAACACGUUGACGUCCAUCAGGCUGUGACCCGACACCAGCGUCAGCUCGAGGACCCUGUGCGCCAUUGCUCUCUCGGCCCUGUUGGAGAAAGGGAGACAACGCACUACGUGGCUAGCUGCGAGCUUUGCCGUACUGGACUAUGGCGGCCAUGGCGCGCAGGGGUAUGUAUAGGGGACGGACGGGGCCACCUUCCAGCGACGUAUUACGAGUCGGCCGCUCCAAGUUUGGCGCGCGGGCUAACAUUCAUAUAUGCAUGGAUGUGCACGCAUCCGAUGCCAAGGGAAAUUUCAGCAGAAUGUGCGCAACAGCUGCUAGCUUGCUUGUUGCUGACAUUUCAUAUACAAAAUUCCAAAUUUUAUAUAAACUCUAAAGGUCUCAUCUAGAACACCUAUGGUUGAAUCACUGAAUUGUAUAAGACUGCAGUUAGGUUGCUUCUGAUGAAAGAUUAUUGUGCUACUUCUUUCCCACCGAUAUGACGCGACAUAUAAUUUUCAAAACUACUGCAAGAGUGGAAGGUGCAUGAUAUUUUCCACUAGACUAGAUAUCGAUGGAAUACAAUUCACAAUCAUAACUGUGGACCAGUUGCAUGCCCAAUUGUCCACCAAGAACUGACAGAAAGAACUUCAUGAAUGAUGUAUUUUUUCGGAAAGGUGGAAUUCUAUAAUUACAAAUAUAUAUUCUUAUUUAGAUGAUAACUAGGUAACGAAGUUAUUUGAUUAAACUUGUGAAUUUAAACGCUGGAUAAAAUCAUUAAACUGAAGGACUAGACAAAAUGAGCACCUAAGAAAAAAAAUCAUUUCUCAAAUUGAACUUACAAAUGACAAUGAAACAAAACAAAACUCAUAAUUUUAGAAAUGCUGUCAAUAUAUUCAGAUCGAGUGUUGAUUAAUCAAACUCAAAACGCAGAGCUUGGGGUCGGCUGUCGCACCAACAAGCCAAAAACGUUAGCUUGGCUCGGCCUAUUGGGUUGAGCCCAAAAUCUCGACUCGCCGGUGCAGACCCAUCUUUGAUUCUACACAGAAUAUAUUACUCCCUCCGUGGCUCCGUUCCAUACUAAUUGCCACCCAAACGGACGUAUCUACCAUUAAAAUAUACUUCCUCCGUUCCUAAAUAUAAGUCUUUGUAGAGAUUUUACUAGUGGACUAUAUACGGAUGUAUAUAGACAUACUUUAGAGUGUACAUUCAAUCAUUUUACUCCGUAUGUAGACACCUAUUGAAAUCGUUUAAAAGACUUAUAUUUAGGAACAGAGGAAGUAUAAUAGAUAUUACAUUCAUUUCAGCUGCAACUAAUAUGGGAUCAUGGGAAUAGUAGAAGUAUAAACAGAAAUUCUGCUUGGCAUGACUGGUCAACAAACAAACAAUAAAAAAAGUAGUCCAAUACAAUUUUUCAUUGCAUCCACUUAAAUUCAAUCAGACCAAAAAAUGAAGAUUAUUCUUGAACAAAGAAUUCAUUGAAGAAAGAAAUAAUAGUAUAAAAAUAAACCAUACUACUACUAUGUCAUGAAUUGAGCGGAAGAAUUCAGCCUGCUCGGGGAAGAGGCAGAACCGCGAGUCGGCCGAAGAUGAGUUGAGCCAAAGAAUUCAUUGAAGAAAGAAAUAAUAGUUGCUCUGGGAAGAGGCAGUAUGAGAACGGACGUGGACCAACUCAUCUUCGACUGCGCACACACGACGGACGGGCUCGAGCGCCUCAGCCACGGAGUAGCUAGUGUAGUAGUAAAAGGAAAAAAGACAGCGGAUAUUUCAUGGAGUACUUGAAUAUCCCACGAAAUGCUUCCAAAAAAAGGUUAAGGGGGUACGAAUGCACCGAUCUUACUACUAAUUAAAUUCAGCAUUAUAGUAUUCUAGGAUCCAUUAGGCUGGUCAUAGUGGGGGUAUCAUAACUAAUAACAUAGUCUUAGCACUAGUAAACAUGCAUGGUGAUGUGACAAGUAAUUAAAGAAGAGAGAGGAUUAUAGUAACAUAGGUAGAUACCGUAACAUGUUAAAUGUUAUGCUACUAUGUGUCAUGCAUGUUAAUAAAUGAGAUCAUCUAUGAUACUAAUUUAUGAUACUAUGCACUAUAAAGAUAUUAUCAUACAAUAGUAACAUAUGCAUGAUACUACUAUAUGUUACUCUCCACUAUGAACAGCCUUAUUCAUUAUUUUUAAACUGUUCGCCCACAAUUCAUGCACCAACCAAUGAUAAAUGCAUUCGGCGCAGAAACAUAUACUCUAGGAUCUAGACGUGAACCGGGUGUCAGCAUUACAAUUCUCCUGGGCAAAGUAGAGACGAUUGGCAUGGAGGUCAAACGUGAACCGCGUGUCCAUCUGCUGCGCCGCGCCGAGCACCGUCAUCUCCUCGUCCGGCAUGACGGUGAAACACAGGAGCCUGGCGGUCACCUUCCGGAACAGCAGUUCCGGCUUGAUGAAAAGCUUGGCUGUGUCUUCGUACAUGUUGAUGGUCAAGCUCGGGAGGUGCACGUGGCCCCACGAGACAAAGCAGAGGCGGUGCCCCUGCACCUGCGCCUUCGCGCGGCGCGCCCCUUGCUUCUGCAUGUUCGCCACGACCUCGGCCUCGACGAUGUCGUAUGCCUGGCGAACCAGCCUUGUCAGCGGAGUCCCCGGAUCGACGACGGACCCCCCUCGUCGGGUUUGAAGGUUCCGCGUGAACAUCGCCGGCUGUAACCUCAUAAUUCUUCUCCCGUUCAAGCUGAUGCCGACGACGCGGAUGUGGUACAUGCCGCCGGAGCCCGGUCC